GAGCGGGCAUCGCAAGAUGUCAGCGGCAGACGGGAGAGUACACGUGGGAACGUGCCCUUCAGUUCGGAACAACCCAGGGAAACUUGGGCUGAUACCGGAUACGUCCGUAAGGAGAAAGAUUUAUCGCUGAAGGAUCGGCCCGCGUCUGAUUAGCUAGUUGGUGGGGUAAUGGCCCACCAAGGCGACGAUCAGUAGCUGGUCUGAGAGGAUGAUCAGCCUCACUGGGACUGAGACACGGCCCAUACUCCUACGGGAGGCAGCAGUGGGGAAUAUUGGACAAUGGGCGCAAGCCUGAUCCAGCCAUGCCGCGUGGGUGAUGAAGGCCUUAGGGUUGUAAAGCCCUUUCGGCGGGGAAGAUAAUGACGGUACCCGCAGAAGAAGCCCCGGCUAACUUCGUGCCAGCAGCCGCGGUAAU
rnacentral:rRNA from 1 species